rnacentral:rRNA from 1 species
GACGAACGCUGGCGGCGUGCCUAAUACAUGCAAGUCGAACGCAGUGGGGACGGGUGAGUAACACGUGGGUAACCUCCCAUCAGAGGGGAUAACACUUGGAAACAGGUGCUAAACCGAUACUGAUGGAUGGACCCGCGGUGCAUUAGCUAUUUGGUGAGGUAACGGCUCACCAAGGCCACGAUGCAUAGCCGACCUGAGAGUGUGAACGGGCAAACUGGAAGAGAGACACGGCCCAGAAUCCUAGGAGAGGCAGCAGUAGGGAAUCUUCGGCAAUGGACGAAAGUCUGACCGAGCAACGCCGCGUGAGUGAAGAAGGUUUUCGGAUCGUAAAACUCUGUUGGUAGAGAAGCGGUAGAUAACCAGAAAGCCAGGGCUAACUACGUGCAAGCAGCCGCGGUAAUUC